GUUCUUCUCCAACCAAGAAUCGUGCUAGAGGAAGAAUUGAUAUAGCAUGGGGACAUUGUAGAGAGGUUUUAGAAGCUGGUAAUAAUGGAAAUAAAAAAAAAAAAAACUUGUUUGCUUGUAUUGUGGAAAGACUUUUGGUGGAGGUGGUAUUAAUCGAGUCAAACAACAUUUAGCGGCAUUAAAAGGUGAUGUAGAUUCUUGUCGUAGAGUACCUCCUGAUGUUAGAUUUAAAAUGAAAGAAAACUUGGACAUCUUUGCUGCGAAGAAACGUAGA
rnacentral:lncRNA from 1 species